AGUGAACGCUGGCGGUAGGCCUAACACAUGCAAGUCGAACGGCAGCACAGUAAGAGCUUGCUCUUACGGGUGGCGAGUGGCGGACGGGUGGGGAAUACAUCGGAAUCUACUUUUUCGUGGGGGAUAACGUAGGGAAACUUACGCUAAUACCGCAUACGACCUACGGGUGAAAGCAGGGGAUCUUCGGACCUUGCGCGAUUGAAUGAGCCGAUGUCGGAUUAGCUAGUUGGCGGGGUAAAGGCCCACCAAGGCGACGAUCCGUAGCUGGUCAGAGGAUGAUCAGCCACACUGGAACUGAGACACGGUCCAGACUCCUACGGGAGGCAGCAGUGGGGAAUAUUGGACAAUGGGCGCAAGCCUGAUCCAGCCAUACCGCGUGGGUGAAGAAGGCCUUCGGGUUGUAAAGCCCUUUUGUUGGGAAAGAAAAGCAGCAGGUUAAUACCCCGCUGUUCUGACGGUACCCAAAGAAUAAGCACCGGCUAACUUCGUG
rnacentral:rRNA from 1 species